AACGAACGCUGGCGGCAGGCCUAACACAUGCAAGUCGAACGCCCCGCAAGGGGAGUGGCAGACGGGUGAGUAACGCGUGGGAAUCUACCCAGUUCUACGGAACAACUGAGGGAAACUUCAGCUAAUACUGUAUACGCCCUACGGGGGACAGAUUUAUCGGAAUUGGAUGAGCCCGCGUUGGAUUAGCUAGUUGGUGAGGUAACGGCUCACCAAGGCGACGAUCCAUAGCUGGUCUGAGAGGAUGAUCAGCCACACUGGGACUGAGACACGGCCCAGACUCCUACGGGAGGCAGCAGUGGGGAAUAUUGGACAAUGGGCGCAAGCCUGAUCCAGCCAUGCCGCGUGAGUGAUGAAGGCCUUAGGGUUGUAAAGCUCUUUCAGUGGGGACGAUAAUGACGGUACCCACAGAAGAAGCCCCGGCUAACUUCGUGCCAGCCGCCGCGGUAACAC
rnacentral:rRNA from 1 species